GUUUAAAAUGCCAUUUCCACACAAUUUGAAGCCCAUCUUUCUACAAUGGUAAAGAUUAUUCACAAGUGGAAAACCUUCAAGACAACAGUUGACAAUUUUCCCAGAAGUGGACAUCCCAGGAAAUUAACCCCAAGGUCAGUGCAUGCAAUACUCAGAGAAAUUGCAA